rnacentral:lncRNA from 1 species
CUGUAACAAGUAAGGCCCCUGUUCCAACUAGUGUCUGUUUCAACAACUUGAUAACUGGUUUAACCUGUAGGCACAAAAUAUUCAUGUGAAGCUUGCAUGCAUUUUUGUAACAAGUAAGGCGCCUCCCUUCUGUGCAGGUGUGGGUUGCUUGUACUCAUACUUACACUAAAAUAAUCAAAGCUAGAUGAAUAUUACAUCUGUGUUCAAUUCACUGUCACAUGAUUGUGUGAUCAUUUAUGUGUCACCACUAGUCAGUUGGUUUAGCGUCCAACCUUCUCAUUGGACAUACAUUGAGUACAACUCUUUCUACAUGCUAUAUUAGAAAAUGGAUAAGUCGUUUGCAUAUGUUAGUACCUUAUAAGAGCCAAGCAAUCUGUCGCGAGCCAGGACCUGUAAAGGAAAAAGAUUAAAGAGAUCAAUGUAGUGCAUGAAUAAUAUCUACAAAAGUUUGUGAUGUUGCAUCUUGAAUAGCACCAUAAGAAUAUAUUUAUUUCAUUCUUCUUGUUCUAGUUCAAUUGAUUUUAGUGAGCAAUUCUAAUUGGUUGUCAUUGAAACUUGAGUUUCUCAAAAUUUUUAAUCUUUUACAUAUCCUUAGGCUGAGAGCUUACACUUUAUAGUAUUUGGACUAUGAUUUCUGUUUCAGACUAGACAUUCAAUGAGCCACUUUGCUGUGAACCAUCUGGAAAUUGUUGAUGCCCUUAAAAAUUGAUUUAAUCUAGCAACAUGGUUAAAUGGCUAAAAUAUAGGUAACACCCUGUAUCUCUCUGUUAUCUAAUGCAUCAAAUCUUGUAGCUUAUCAUCAUACGAAAUACUUUUUGGACGUUGAAUGCCAGAUCUUGUGAAAUAUUUAUUUUUCCAGGUAUCAAUGCAUGCUCAUUCAUCAGACACUAUAGUCUUUAACAGCAUAAUGUUGAACUGCUAUGAGAUCAUGUCUCACAUCUGAUCGUUUGAUCAAUAUGACUUGAGGUAUUAUCACACCCCGUGUUCCAAAGUUUUGAUUGCCUUCCUUGUUUGCCACAUAAUGCCACUCAGAAGAUGUGAAACAUGGAUAAUAUAACACGAUGUUGAAACUUCUUAUCACAACUGGGAUGUGAUAAUUUUAUGCAAUACCUCUUCCUUGUGAAACUUCAUUUCACACAAUGCCACUCAGCAGUUGCUGGUGAAUUCUUUUAUGCACAUGCUUACAAACUAGCACAAACUGGCAGAGAAAUUGUAAGUCAACAUAAAAAGUGAAAACUACCAGUUGAGUAGACUAGGCUUUAGGUCGCCAUAAACACUAACAAUGCACUACCAAAACUUCAGGUUCAUUCUUUUAAUGGUCCAUCCCACUUGAUUUCAACGAUUCUUGACAGUGAAUAAUUAUCCUUGCUUCAGAAACUUAAAGCAGUUAUUAAGAAGAAUUUACUUCAUGCUUUUAUCAUUAAUUGUUGCUUUGCUCCUCUCCUGGUCAAGAAAGAAAGAAAGAAACACAACAUGCACUAAC